AUUGAACGCUGGCGGAAUGCUUUACACAUGCAAGUCGAACGGUAGAGGGGGCAACCCCUCGAGAGUGGCGAACGGGUGAGUAAUAUAUCGGAACGUGCCCAGUCGUGGGGGAUAACGUAGUGAAAGUUACGCUAAUACCGCAUACGAUCUAAGGAUGAAAGCGGGGGAUCGCAAGACCUCGCGCGAUUGGAGCGGCCGAUAUCAGAUUAGGUAGUUGGUGGGGUAAAGGUUCACCAAGCCAACGAUCUGUAGCUGGUCUGAGAGGACGACCAGCCACACUGGAACUGAGACACGGUCCAGACUCCUACGGGAGGCAGCAGUGGGGAAUUUUGGACAAUGGACGCAAGUCUGAUCCAGCCAUUCCGCGUGCAGGAUGAAGGCCCUCGGGUUGUAAACUGCUUUUGUACGGAACGAAAAGGUCUCUCUUAAUACUAGGAGCUCAUGACGGUACUGUAAGAAUAAGCACCGGCUAACUACGUGCCAGCAGCCGCGGUAA
rnacentral:rRNA from 1 species